CGGCGGGGCGGGCAGGCAUGGGUGGCGGGCCACGUCGGAGGUAGCACCGAGGCAGCCUCUUCCAUUUGGGAUUCGGAAGCCCUCUCCCGCUAGACGAAAGGCCUUUCUUCCCUGCUUCCCCUAACGAUCGCCCCAGAAUCCCCGCCUCACCAUCUUUGCCUUGCUUGCUUUGUGUGCUGAGAGAACCGUGAGGAGAGUGCAGUAAAAAUAAUGUGGCACUUUGAACUAGAUCAGACCCCAGCAGGUCCUGGUGGACCGCAACUUGUCUUAAACUGUCAGAAUCUCAGCGCAGUCCUCCGAAAUGGGGCGUGGGGCUCCAUCUCACCGAGAUGAGAAUCGGAACAGUUCGUAUCUCUGAAAAUAUUGGAACGAGUCAAACAAUGCAGACAUAAUUUAUCUCAAGAAAGACUGCCAUAGUGCUUGAAAUGCUUUUUAUUUAGAAUAGUAGCAAAAA